CGAGCUGAAAUUUUACUUGGAUGAUGAUGACAUCUACAUUGAUUUAGCAGAUCUUUGAUGUUGAAAACUUGGAAGUGAUAGAAAAGAAAAUAGGGUUAGAGUGCUGAUUUUUGUUCAUUCCUAAUUUUUUUUUUUUUUUUUUUUUUUUUUUUUUGUAUAGUCGGAGCCUGGUGAAUGAAUACUGAAAAGUUCUUUCUUGAAUUAAGAAAAAGUGGUCUUCGCUUUGUAAGUUCUCUCCAACUCUCUUCUCUCGUUUAUCGUUUUUUCUUCCCUUUUAAUAAGAAUCAAAGAGUUAUUAGUGGUUAUUACAAAUGUUACUAUCCAGAGUAGUCCUAUUGGAUGUGAAAGUAAUCCACUUUAAUGAUCACUUGCUUAAUUAGAUCCAUCUAUUCCUCUCCUUCCAAACUCAGUGGAUUGUUCCACAGAAGUUCCUAGAAAUACUUUUUUUUUUUACCACAACAGUGGGUUUAGCACGAAACUUCUGAACUUUCAAGGUGUUGGUUUGCCUUUGUUCAUUGAUUUUAAAGUCUGACCAGGUUCCCUAUUAUGAAUCCUUUGCAAGUGAAGACAUGUUGCAGAAUAUUAUUUGUUGUGAACAUCAUAUAGAUUUUUGUAUUGAAUUUUCUCUAGCUUUCUAUAAUACUGCUUAAUCAUUUCAGGGGAAAAUGCUGUGGUAGUAACUUCAUAAAGUUCUCUUGAUUCAAUGAAUUGCUUUUAUUGGAAUAGAGUCAUAGAGAUAGAGAACCUCAUUGUGGCAAUUCACCUGGAACAGAGUAAUUUGCUCUUUUGGUUGACAACAAAUUAUUUGAUCGAAUUUUAAUGGACGUAUAUUGUUCUCUUCUUUUCAAAUAUAUAUUUCAUUUUUUUGGAUAAGAAACAGGAAAGGAAUAUAUUCCAAAAGAAUAAAAAACUUUAAGCCCCCCAAAACCAGCCUAACAGCCAUCUUUGUCAAACAUUUCAUUUAACGAGAAUUCCUUGAUACCAUGCCUUUUCUCCACAGAUUUCUAAUCCAAAUUAACAUGUAGUGGGGUAUACAUUAUUGGACUGAUUUGGACUGAUGUUAGCCAUGAGAGCAAAAAAUUCUCUCCCGACAGUAUUAAAGACAAGUUACGUCUGUCUUCGUUUGAACCAUCCAUUAGGUUGCAGUUUUGCAAUCCGAAAAAUACAAUAAAACAACUUUUGUCCAAGGGGUAGUAGCAACCGAAUUAGCAGCUUCCAAGCCACACACCGGCAGCAUAAUAUGCUUAUCAGUUAACUCAAGAUCCUUGACUCCUAUUUUUUUUACGACAGGAAUUAAGUUAUAAAUGUGGGUGAUGUGAUGUCAGUGUAUUCUUGAACUUGAAAGUAUUUGUAAUGAGUUGUUAAUUUGGAUCUCGAGUAGUGUGGAGGAAUGUGGACAAUAUUAUGGGCAUUAUCAUAAAAUUCCGGUCAUGCGGAUGGUUCAUAUGUGAUUUGGUUAAAGCACUCCGAGUCUCCAUAUCUUAUCAUUAUAAUUACAUAAUCUUUUACCACAAAUAAAUAAAGCAAUUAUGAGAAAAUGGCAAUCUUAGUCUCCGUAUCAUAUCAUUAUCAAAAUGCAAAGUAAAUGGCAAUUAAGAGAUUGGAUAUCACAUAAUCAUCCUUCACCACAAUUAAAUAUAACAAUUAAUUCCUUCUCUCUGAAAAUGGAGAAUAUUCCUAUAUAGAAAACAUCAAUGGCCAUACUUUACACCAAUGAACACUAUUCCCUUCCUUUUUGAUAAUUGUGAAACUUACAUUUUUCUCCACCUUCAUUCUAUAUUCGUUAUUUCAUAGUCUGAACUAGUGAUGCAGUCCAUCCAGUGCUACCCAACUUCAGGAACUAUGCAUCAUCGAAUGUAUCCUCAAGCACAACCUCCAGUGAUCAACCCUUACAGCAGCCCAAUCCCAUCCUUUGCAAGGAAGGAGCCUAAAUUUAAUGCAGCCGUGAAGCACCGUUUGGCAGAGCAGAACAGAAGGAACAGAAUCAGUGGCCAAUAUGCCACGCUCCGUGCCAUCCUUCCCAGCCUAUCCAAAGUUAGUCCAAACUUCCCCUCAAAAAUCUAUCUUCAAUUGAUUUAUUUUUAAGCCAAAAUCAUUGAAAUUUCUGUAUAUUGACACUUGAAAAGAAAUGUGUUAUGUAUAUGAACACAGACGGAUAAGAGUAAGCUGAAAAAGGCUUUUGUGCUUUCUGAGACAAUCCGUGGAGUGAAGGAGCUUAAGAAGCUUGUAUCAGAAAAGAGAGUAGCCAGUCGUGAGUUCAGAGAUUGUGGGAUACCUAGUGGAGCAGAUAGGUUGAGCUUAGAACAAUGUGAUGGUGGUGAAGGGAUGGUGAAGGCUGUAAUGAGCUGUGAGGACAGGCAGGAUAUCAUGGCAGAAUUAGCCAAAGCACUGAAAACAAUGAAAGUGAAGCUGGUUAAAGCUGAAAUGGUGACUGUGGGUGGAAGGAACAAGUUUUCUCUAUGGAUUCAAGGCCCUAAAGAAGGACAUAGUGGGCUUAAGAGAGUUUUGGAGGCUGUUAUGAGAAGGCCUUCAUGGAUUGCUAGAAAACCCAGAAAUGUUUGGCAGUCUCGAGCUUCAACAGAUAGCAAUUUUAACGGAGUGACUUCUUGAACACAAAAAUUUCUUGUUUUUCUUAAAGUAAACAUAAUUACCCGUUUGUAUUUAGAGGUCAAUUGUGAAUUGUGAUGGCCUUUAUGGGAAACCAUCCAACCUCUAAUCCAUACAUAUAUAUCCUCACAUAAUUGGGAAAACUUAUGUAAAUGAAACUGAAUGAAAAAAUAAAUUGAUAUUACAGAUUAGUUUUGAAAAAAUCCGAUCAAUGGACACAAAGUGCCCUAUUUUUCCAUCAACCUCGAGUAGAAACAUGCAAUUGAGGUUUGAAUUAUAAUUUAAGUUUUCAAGAUGCGAAUGGGAGGAUUCAAUUAUAUAUAAUUGAAAAUUGUUUUACGAUAAAGGAAAUAUGUCAAAAUCAUCAAUCAACUAUGAUUUCAUGAUAAUAUAUCACAUAUGUUUGAAAGUUGUUGGAAACAAUUAAAAUCAUUUUGUAAUUUUUAAAAUGGCUUAGAAACAUGUUUUAAUUUUUUUUUCAAUAUUGUUUUGGAUGAUAUGAAGACCAAGUUAAGGUUUAACCAUGUAAAAUCAAACAUCCAAUUGUAAAUCAAGAAAGACAUGUUUAAAUGAUUUUCGAUUAGGACAAUUUUAACCUUCUCAAAAUCAAUUUCUUGUUGAAUUGAAGUUUAAUCUUUACAAAAGAGGUUUGGUAGGUCUGGUUAACAGUGUCUCUUGUGUUGUUGAGAAGAUGAACUAAUUCCUCUCUCCCCAACUACAUCCCAUCAAACACAAGACCAAUCAAAGUUCAAGUUUAUAAAUAUCCAUCGUGGCCAAAUGUUCCUUCAACUCAAACAACAAACAGAUUCAAUAGAAGUUCGCUAGGAUUGCUAAAAACUUCCCUCUUUCUAAUUCAAAACCAUGGCUGUUUUCAACAGUUGCUUGAAGUUCUUAUUAAUCGUAUCCUUGUCAUUGGCAAGCAUCAACAUGAACUUUGCUAGUUCUCGUCGCCUUCUCGAUACACCAGCAGCUCCACCUCCAUUCCUAUCUAUACCUCCAAUUCCUCCACUGCCGCCUCUGCCCAAGGCCACAGUGCCACCACUGCCAAGCGCUGCCCUGCCUCCGCUCCCUCCGAUGCCAACACUGCCAAGAGCUACAUUGCCUCCAUUGCCUUCAGCACCAGCAUUGCCAAAGGCUACCUUACCUACUUUGCCACCAUUACCUUCAGCACCAGCACUGCCAAAGGCUACCUUACCUACUUUGCCACCAUUACCAACCAUGCCAUUGCCGACCUUUCCUUUUUCAUCACCACCUCCAUCGAAAUGAACCACCUGAAGUUUAAAGGCAUCGCAGCUCCUACUCUACUGUCUUCUAGUUUUGUUGUUGGGGUUUAUAUUUAUGAUCUACCAUUGUUGGUGGAUUUUGCAUAUUUCUGUGUUUGUUCGUUGUAUUUUGUUUUUAUUCCUUGUCAUGUCAUAAGCUUUCUAUCUACAAUGAAGGCCUUACUGUAUCAUCUCGUUUCUUGAGUGUUAAUAGAAGUGCCUUUUCAUACAAUAUGAGCUCUAUUGUUUAGAUUUUGGGUCUAUGCACUUAAACUGACACAAUGAUUGGGAGUCGGAACAACGUUUCCCACUCUGAACCACAAUAGGAAGACUAUCACACAUAGUUACAAAAAAUCGUGGUUAGCAAGGUGAUAAACUAGGAGGUUACAAUCGCCUAACCCUUCAAUAACUUGACAACAUUUGAGGCAUCAGCCAGAAUGUGACAAUAUCCUUUUCCAUAUAGAUGGAAGCAAUGCAUAAUCAAAAAACCAAACUGUAGUUCCAAAGUCGUUUUCUUUACACUAUUACUUCUAGUGAGUUGAAUUUUAUUCAUUCCAAUCAAGCGUUGUCUUCAAUCAUUUGGUUCAUAUCAUAGUUAACUAAACUUACUCAAACAUCUUCUAUUGGUUCUUCAAUGUUCACACAAGUACAAUGAUUGGUAAAUACACUCAAGAUCCAUGUCCUAUGAAAACACAGAAUGGCUUCUAUCAAAAUCUCAUCUUCUUCAACUCAAGACUCCGAUUCGUACAUAGAAUGGCUUCCACUAGCCUAUCGGUAAUGCUAUAUUUGGGACUAUAACCAGAUAAAGGUUGAAAGAAGCAAAAUUAAUAUACCUUUAGGCAGCCCGACACGAUUUCCACCAUAACAACAUUUCAAUUAUUCCUUCCCAUCAAAUGAAACAAGUCCAAAUUGACGAAGGUUUCUUGAUGGUUAUUAUCAUCAAUUAAAUCAGAACUUACUGCUGCUUGCUUCUGAAAAAUACGAUGCUUCUACCUUACUACACCAGUAACAUUGCAUAUAGGUUAAUGAAGGAACAUAAAAAUGAAGCAAAAAGUGGACAAAUUCAAUAUUUAUUAGUAUGGGAAAUGUAUUUUACAAAGGACUUCUAAGUUAUUCUGCAAUGUAACUAGUUGUACAAAGCCAUCAGUCACCU
rnacentral:lncRNA from 1 species